GUGCGAGUGGCGGACGGGUGAGUAACGCGUGGGUACCUGCCUCAUACAGGGGGAUAACAGUUGGAAACGACUGCUAAUACCGCAUAAGGUCGCAUGGCAAAAACUCCGGUGGUAUGAGAUGGACCCGCGUCUGAUUAGCCAGUUGGUGGGGUAACGGCCUACCAAAGCGACGAUCAGUAGCCGACCUGAGAGGGUGACCGGCCACAUUGGGACUGAGAUACGGCCCAAACUCCUACGGGAGGCAGCAGUGGGGAAUAUUGCACAAUGGGGGAAACCCUGAUGCAGCGACGCCGCGUGAGCGAAGAAGUAUUUCGGUAUGUAAAGCUCUAUCAGCAGGGAAGAAAAAUGACGGUACCUGACUAAGAAGCACCGGCUAAAUACGUGCCAGCAGCCGCGGUAAUACGUAUGGUGCAAGCGUUAUCCGGAUUUACUGGGUGUAAAGGGAGCGCAGGCGGUACGGCAAGUCUGAUGUGAAAGCCCGGGGCUCAACCCCGGUACUGCAUUGGAAACUGUCGGACUAGAGUGUCGGAGGGGUAAGUGGAAUUCCUAGUGUAGCGUGAAAUGCAUAGAUAUUAGGGGGAACACCAGUGGCGAAGGCGGCUUACUGGACGAUUACUGACGCUGAGGCUCGAAAGCGUGGGGAGCAAACAGGAUUAGAUACCCUGGUAGUCCACGCCGUANACGAUGAAUACUAGGUGUCGGGGAGAUUCUCUUCGGUGCCGCAGCAAACGCAAUAAGUAUUCCACCUGGGGAGUA
rnacentral:rRNA from 1 species